rnacentral:ncRNA from 2 species
AGCUUAUCAAGAGAGGUGGAGGGACUGGCCCUAUGAAACCCGGCAACCGGUAGCAUAGCUACAUCAGGUGCCAAUUCCUGCAGAGUUUUAUAACUUUGGUAGAUGAGGA